ensembl:lncRNA LOC120097843 uncharacterized LOC120097843
UGCAGGCCGGGCUCCCUCCUCCCCUGGCGGGUGGCGGGGGAGGGGAGGGGGCUUGAGGCCAGAGGGAAAGGUGGUACCAAUCCUCCAGUUCCAGAGCUACAAAGCUGAUCCAGGCCUCGUUGGGGGACGCCUAAACGCCCUUCUAAAGACCUGGGGUGUCAUCACCACACCACCCCCGGGCACACGGAGCCUGGCUCGGUGUAUCGCAUUCCCCUUCCUCCCCCGGAGCAUCUGGCGGAGCUGGGGGAAAGGCAAGAGAAAGCCAUCAAGGAGGAUGCUGUAGCUGCUGCUGCCUGAAGUCUUUGGCUCCUGUAGUUCAUGAGGCCUCCCUCAAUAGGCCUCCGGAUUAGGUUACCCGGGCCGGGCGAUGACUUUUACUGGAUACGAGAAUAGCACAGGUAAAGCUGUAUAAACAGUUCCCGGCUGCGAAGCAGGAGGGUUAUGCCGGGGACACAGUCCCAAGGCGCCACCAACCAGCCUGGCUUGAGCACACGAAAACGGCUGGGGAGACCGCUUUGCCACAGCGACCCGGACCUCACAGUUUAAAACACCGGAGAAAAACUGCCCGAGCCAGGAGGAGCGGGGUAGCCAAGCAGAGACUCUACCCGGGAAGAAAGGCGCUGAGCAAUUACCUGCUUCGCACUCCGCCCCCAGCCCAGCCCCAGCCCUCACCUUCAUCUUCGAGGGUUUCUAGCCCUCCCUCAGCCGCUACUACCCGCCCCCCCCCCCGCUUGAGAAAACCCCUGAUUAUAGCGAGAUUAAAAA